GACCAACGCUGGCGGCGUGCUUAACACAUGCAAGUCGAACGGAGAGGCCCUGCUUCUGUGGGGUGCUCGAGUGGCGAACGGGUGAGUAACACGUGAGUAACCUGCCCUUGACUUUGGGAUAACUUCAGGAAACUGGGGCUAAUACCGGAUAGGAGCUCCUGCUGCAUGGUGGGGGUUGGAAAGUUUCGGCGGUUGGGGAUGGACUCGCGGCUUAUCAGCUUGUUGGUGGGGUAGUGGCUUACCAAGGCUUUGACGGGUAGCCGGCCUGAGAGGGUGACCGGCCACAUUGGGACUGAGAUACGGCCCAGACUCCUACGGGAGGCAGCAGUGGGGAAUAUUGCACAAUGGGCGGAAGCCUGAUGCAGCAACGCCGCGUGCGGGAUGACGGCCUUCGGGUUGUAAACCGCUUUCGCCUGUGACGAAGCGUGAGUGACGGUAAUGGGUAAAGAAGCACCGGCUAACUACGUG
rnacentral:rRNA from 1 species